rnacentral:rRNA from 1 species
UGAGGAAUAUUGGUCAAUGGGCGAGAGCCUGAACCAGCCAAAUCGCGUGAAGGAAGACUGCCUUAUGGGUUGUAAACUUCUUUUAUACAGGAAUAAAAAAGGGGACGUGUCCCUUAUUGCAUGUACUGUAUGAAUAAGCAUCGGCUAACUCCGUGCCAGCAGCCGCGGUAAUACGGAGGAUGCGAGCGUUAUCCGGAUUUAUUGGGUUUAAAGGGUGCGCAGGCGGGCUUUUAAGUCAGCGGUGAAAUCUCGGGGCUUAACUCCGAAACUGCCGUUGAAACUGGGAGUCUUGAGUAUGGAUGAAGUAGGCGGAAUUCGUUGUGUAGCGGUGACAUGCUUAGAUAUAACGAGGAACUCCGAUUGCGUAGGCAGCUUACUAAGCCAUAACUGACGCUCAAGCACGAAAGCGUGGGGAUCAAAACAGGAUUAGAUACCCUGGUAGUCCACGCCGUAAAACGAUGAUUACUAGUUGUAUGCGAUAUACCGUAUGUGACUAAGCGAAAAGCGGUAAGUAAUCCACCUGGGGAGUACGCCGGCAACGGUGAAACUCAAAUGAAUUGACGGGGUCAUAGCUGUUUCCUG